CGUAUAUUUAAUACCAGAAUUCGUUAUGCAAUGCUUUCGAUGUCUUUUGUGAUACAUGUAUAGUGGCUCGCGGAAAUGUCCGAAUAUGUACUUGCUAUGGAACCUUUUAUGUAUUGUUUGUGCUAUAUAAAACAUUUUCGAAUUUCAUCAAUAGUAUAAUUAGUAGACUGCUGAUUUUUAUAUAAAUUCAUAUUUUCAUGAAUACAAUUAAAAGAGUAGGAUCUGAGUAGAGAUCUGGUUUACCUGUUAAAUAUCAUAAACAGUACUAUACACAAAAACAAUACUGUAUCUUUAUACGUUUAUAUGUUUUGUAUGCUUUUGUAUGUGUUGCGUAUCAUAACGUUGCAUAUCAUUACGUAUUUUUGUAUCUUAAAAUUACUGAUAAUUGCAUAAAAAUCAGCAAUAAAAAACUACUGUUACAAUAUAUUCAUUUUCAAACUGUUUCGUAUAACACACAUAAUACAUUCAUGAAAAGUUUCUAUAAGUAUUUACUUUCGCGAGCUACUAUAUUUCUGUGUGUUCUCAGUAUUUGUCAGUGUCCGCAUGUAAAUGUAAACAAGUAUUUAUUGUCCUAUGGGUAUUUAUUAUCGCGUGUAUCAAGUGGUAAAUUGGUGGCAAAAUUUUGGGAUCGUGUUUAAUUUUAUAUGCAGGUUAAAUUACGCUAUAAAUAUGAUAAUGUAUAAUAGACGUUUGUGUUAUAUUACAGAUAUUUUGGUUCAAACUUUGGAUUAUUAAACCUCUACUUUUCUUCCGUCUCGACGAAUAAAAAAAUUUUGAAUAUCUCAUUAUCUAUCAACUUUCAUAAAUUUGGAAAGUUUUUAAUGAUAAGAAAUACGAUUGUGCCACAGGACGUAAUGAGGUUAGGAAGUAUAACAUGCGUACCUCUACAACUUGAGAUGAAAACGUCCGCAAAUCCAUAACCUUCACGUGACCCGUUUUCAUCAGUAGAACCGAAACACGCUGUAAAAUUUGGCCACCUAUUUCCAAACGGAUCUUUUGUACAGACUACUUUAUUCUGUAUCACAAUUCCUCUCCAGUCAUCGAGCAAUCUCUCUUUCUCCCUUCCUGCUGUUCUCUUCAAAGUACGUAACACUUUCCACUUAUCGUCCAUUUGUAUGUUGCCUAAAUGUUACACAUAAAAUACCUUUAAAAGGACGAAGGAAAAGUGAAAGAAAAAAGGAAGAAAAGAGGAGGGAUAGAAUAGAAGAAAAAAAUUCGAGUCAAGACCGAAGGUCGAAGAUGUUGAAAAAUUUAGCAAGCUGACCACCAAAGGAGCGCUCGGAAGCCGGUAUUCAGAGCGCAGUGAGGUUACAAGCCGCUCGAGAAGGCGAAAACGGUCUUUCAACGAAAGUAGAGUAGCGCAUCCGUGUCAAGGUUAUUCCGCGAUAGAGAUUCCAAGCUGUCGGCCCAGUAGAUUCUAAGUUUGCAAUCAAUAUCGAAAUACGCGGUGACGCGUCGAUAUCGAAGAAACCCCGCCGGUUACAUUCGACCGACAAUUCUUUUGCCUCUUUUAAAUAAAUCUCGGCUUUCGGUGUCGUUAAAAAUCUCACUUUUACGGUUGCGAUAGAUUUUACAGAUAAACGUUGGCAUUAGACUAUGGUUACAGUGGAUGUGUGUUCUGAUCUCAAUAUAUCAAAUAUGAAGACCAUGAGGGACCAAUAUAAUAAGUCUAGCUUCUUUGUUUUUUUUUAUUUUUAUGUUACAUAAUGUUAAGCAGAAAAUAUUUUAAUAUGGAAAGAAAACAACUUGU